CCUACGGGUGGCAGCAGUGAGGAAUAUUGGUCAAUGGGCGCGAGCCUGAACCCGCCAAGUCGCGUGAAGGAUGACUGCCCUACUUGUUGUAAACUUCUUUUGUAAAGGCAUAAAUUGAGGCACGUGUGCCUUUUUGUCUGUACUUCAUGACUAAGGAUCGGCUAACUCCGUGCCAGCAGCCGCGGUAAUACGGAGGAUGCGAGCGUUAUCCGGAUUUAUUGGGUGUAAAGGGAGCGUAGAUGGGUUUUUAAGUCAGUUGUGAAAGUUUGCGGCUCAACCGGAAAAUUGCAAUUGAUCACGGCAGCCUGGAGUACAGUAGAGGUAGGCGGAAUUCGUGGGGUAGCAGUGAAAUGCUUAGAUAUCACGAAGAAAUCCGAUUGCGAAGGCAGCUUACUAAACUGCCACUGACAUUGAGGCUCGAAAGUGUGGGUAGCAAACAGGAUUAGAUACCCGAGUAGUC
rnacentral:rRNA from 1 species